rnacentral:rRNA from 1 species
GCUAACUACNUGCCAGCAGCCGCGGUAAUNCGUAGGGUGCGAGCGUUAAUNGGAAUUACUGGGCGUAAAGCGGGCGCAGACGGUUACUUAAGCAGGAUGUGAAAUCCCCGGGCUCAACCUGGGAACUGCGUUNUGAACUGGGUGACUAGAGUGUGUCAGAGGGAGGUAGAAUUCCACGUGUAGCAGUGAAAUGCGUAGAGAUGUGGAGGAAUACUGAUGGCGAAGGCAGCCUCCUGGGAUAACACUGACGUUCAUGCCCGAAAGCGUGGGUAACAAACAGGAUUAGAUACCCUGGUAGUCCACGCCCUAAACGAUGUCGAUUAGCUGUUGGGCAGCAUGACUGCUUAGUAGCGAAGCUAACGCGUGAAAUCGACCGCCUGGGGAGUACGGUCGCAAGAUUAAAACUCAAAGGAAUUGACGGGGACCCGCACAAGCGGUGGAUGAUGUGGAUUAAUUCGAUGCAACGCGAAGAACCUUACCUGGUCUUGACAUGUACGGAACCCUCCAGAGACGGAGGGGUGCCUUCGGGAGCCGUAACACAGGUGCUGCAUGGCUGUCGUCAGCUCGUGUCGUGAGAUGUUGGGUUAAGUCCCGCAACGAGCGCAACCCUUGUCAUUAGUUGCCAUCAUUAAGUUGGGCACUCUAAUGAGACUGCCGGUGACAAGCCGGAGGAAGGUGGGGAUGACGUCAAGUCCUCAUGGCCCUUAUGACCAGGGCUUCACACGUCAUACAAUGGUCGGUACAGAGGGUAGCCAAGCCGCGAGGCGGAGCCAAUCUCACAAAACCGAUCGUAGUCCGGAUUGCACUCUGCAACUCGAGUGCAUGAAGUCGGAAUCGCUAGUAAUCGCAGGUCAGCAUACUGCGGUGAAUACGUUCCCGGGUCUUGUACACACCGCCCGUCACACCAUGGGAGUGGGGGAUACCAGAAGUAGGUAGGGUAA